AGAGAGCUCCUCAUUCUGGAGAGUUGGAAAUCUCUUUACUAGCCUGUGACUGGUGAAGAAAAUGUCCUCCACUUUAUUGAAAGUAUGGCCCCACUCAGCUCUCCAGACCAGUACUAUCCUCUCUUAAUUCCCCAAUAGAUUAGUGUGGUUUGUUUCAGGAUUUUUGUUGUCUAGUUGGGGUUUUUUGUUCUUGUUUGCUUGUAAUUCUCGAGGUUAUUUCCAAAUACCCCCAUCUUCUGCUUACCUUCAUUCUUUAAAACCCCAGGAUGCAGGUCCCAUAAGUAGUUUUCUUACAGGCUAAGUAUAGGUCUGAAAUUCCACCAGUUAGCCUCUUCACAUAUCUAGUGACUUCUACUUCUGUUUUACUAUGAAUUAAAAAACUAAAAUUCACUCAAAAUCCAGAGAAAAUUGUGUGAGGAGACUCCAGGUCACAGUAGACGUGUGCUAUUUUUUGUUUACUUCAAAGCCAACCCAUUUCAAUCUGAAUUGCUCAUGACCUAAUGUAAGCUUUAAGACUUCUUGGAUCUGAAACAUCAAAAAGAGAGAAACUGUUGUUGAUGCUAUCUUGUAACCUCCUAGUCAUCUUAGCCCUUAACUGUCCACCCAUCUACCCUUUAUGUCCAGCCAUACCCUUUAUUUUUCUUAGCCUCCCUGCAGCUACCUGCCUUUUGUCGUUAGCACCUUCACCAAUAGGAAAGUACAGAAAUCAAGUUUGUUAGGUCACCACCACCACCCCCAGCACACAAAAAAUGUUUAAUGACAAAGGAGACUAAAACAAAUGACAUUCAGGGAUUCUCAGUCUUGGCUGUUCAUCAAAAUCACUUGGGAUCUUGAAAACAUCAGAGUAGAGAUGCCCCUUUAGACCCACCAUUGAACAAUUAAAUAGUAUCUCUCUAAGGAUUGGGCCAGGCUUUUUUUUUUUUUUUUUUUUUUUUAACCUUCCCCACAGGAUUCUAAGUUCAGAUAGAGUUAACAACCACUAGUCCAUAUCUCUCUCUGAGCACUGUGUGAGUGUCUGUUACAAUGUUUUCUCUGUUCCCAUCCAUGGAACUGGGAUAAGUUGGCCAUAGGUGUUUUGUUUGCCUCCUAUUUCAAAUUUUAUCAGUAAAUGCUACUAAAGCUGAUAAUAUACUCUACCUUGUCCCCACCAAUUCCAUCCUUUAUAUCUGUGAGGUAGAAAUCCUCUCCAUUAAUAUGAGAUAGCUGUAUUCCAACAAAAGUGACCCGAAGCUGGAACUCCCCAUCUUGACCCCAAUUUUCCCAUUAUUGGUUUUAAUUUAAAAUAAAAGGUAGAUGGUUUCUGGUUUGGUAACCCACCCCUGCCAAAAAAAAAAAAAAAAACGGUUCUUGACUUUUGUAGACUUAAUACUCAGCACUGCAGUCUUAUUACUUGAACUUUUACUAAAAAAUUUAUCAGAUGCCAAAUUGCAUCAUGUGCACCUGUUCUUCAACAGCAAAAUGCACCGAAAGCUCUCCAGUUCCCUCCCCGCUACCUGGCAGGCAUUUGUGCGUGCAUGCGGACGGGCGCACGCGCACACACACACACACACACACACACACACACACAACUGUUCUUCCUAGAGACUUCAGUUUGUGAGAUUUUAGAAUGAAUUGCCUGGGUGCUAUUUCUUUGGCCUAUGAGUAAAUUGCAAUAAGCUACCAGAUUAACGCCAAUCAGUUUCCUUGUCUGUAAAAUUAUGGUUUUGGCUAGAUGGCCUAUGAGGAACUCUCUAGCUCUGACAUCUUAUGAUUAUUAUCUGAUAUCACUGAAAAAUGUGCCUUUAGGUCAUAUUCAAAAAUCAGCUUGAGGCUUUUGUCACAAUAUUUAGGAAUAAUUCUUCCUCUUCACAAUCUCUCAUCUCACAAUACUUU
rnacentral:lncRNA from 1 species